UACGAAGGGGGCUAGCGUUGCUCGGAAUUACUGGGCGUAAAGCGCACGUAGGCGGCUUCUUAAGUCGGUGGUGAAAUCCUGGAGCUCAACUCCAGAACUGCCUUCGAUACUGGGAGCUCGAGUCCGGGAGAGGUGAGUGGAACUACGAGUGUAGAGGUGAAAUUCGUAGAUAUUCGCAAGAACACCAGUGGCGGAAGGCGGCUCACUGGCCCGGUACUGACGCUGAGGUGCGAAAAGCGUGGGGAGCAAACAGG
rnacentral:rRNA from 1 species